rnacentral:rRNA from 1 species
AUGCAAACGCACAGCAAACCGUGUGUCUCCUCACUUGCCACUUUAUCUGGACUCCAAGAGUGGGCAGACCUCCCAGAUGGUUUGUUGCACACUAUUCUUCCUCUCUUAGGCUCUGUAUGUGAUCUUCUUGCCUUUUCUGCAACAUGCCGCUCUUGGCGUGUUGCAUUCUUGUCAUACCCAUCCAAAUCUACCCUCUGCACCCUGGUCCCCCCUCUCCUCAUCCAAACCAACAUCCGUGUUGAUGCUCCUCAUGUUCCAUCUAACGAUAUUCAUUGCAAGUUGUGCACCUGUAAGGUCAUUGACCCAUCCAACCAAAACAUCACUCUUCGCUGCCAGAUUGAUGAAGAAAAGUUUUGCUUUAGUGGGGCUUCCUAUGGUCAUCUUAUUUUUUCUAGCAAUAAAUCAUGUGUAGUUUUUGAUGUGUUCACGGGGUUUACUGCCUCAUCUCCACAACUGCCUUUCUCGGUGGGCGCUGAGUUCAUCUAUGGCGCGCUCACUGCUCCUCUAGCAUCAGCAAUUUCAUGUCUCAUUAUCGAAGACGGAUCAACAAAUCUAUUUUGGCAUGUUGGUAGCCACUCUUGGGUGGCACAUUCUCUUUAUCAUGGACCAAUCAAGCAAGUUGUGGUAUUUAAAGGGCAAGUCUUUGGUAUGGAUUCUGAUCGUAGACUCUUCAAAGUACACUUGGCACCCCAGAUAAGAAUACAAGAACUGCCGGUUCUAGAGUCAAAAAUGAUCAGUAGACAACAUCUUUCUGAUGCAUGGCUGGUGGCGUGUGGCGAUAUGCUUCUCUUGGUCGGCUUCCAUAGAUAUGUUGUAACACCGGCGAGAACCUUCGAAGUCUUCCGCCUUGACGUAUCGACUGAGCCUGCAUUAUGGCUGAAGGUGGAGAAGUUAGAGAAUUGGGCAAUAUUCAUCAGCAAGGAUAAGAGAAGCCAGGCAUUGUCUUGCAUGAACCCAGAAAAAUGGGGAGGGAGGAGCAACUGCAUAUACUGCUAUGACUGCAAGUCUAAACGUUGGAUCACACUUGGGUUGGGCAAGCCACCACAGGGUCAAAAUGUGUUCGUUUUCAUGGACUGCGAAAGCAUCCUGCAACCAAUGUGGGUUGUCCCCAGCAUGUUCUCUCUACAUCGGUGA